AGACAGCGCGUCGUGCCACUGCUUAGGGCUUGGCCUUUUACAGGGAAAGACUUGCUUGGGAGUCUUCCAAGAGAUUUUAAAUGCUCAGACUCUGCACCUAGGAGCUCCAUUGGCGAUGCUUGGAUCUGGCUUCGUGGUCUUUGAAUUUUGAAAGCCCAAGAAGAUUCAUAGACUUUAGAGGCCGCACCCUCUUCAGGCUGCCAGGAGUCUAGGCAGCGGUGAGCACUGAGGAGCUGUCUCAAGGCGUGAGUCUCUUCUCAGGCGAUCCCAGAUAAGAGGAAAUGAGAGAGAGAGAUUUUCUGCCUUCCAACUCAUUAGGGAUGAGAUUUGCUCUUCAGCGUGGCAAGAGGGUGCACCUGUGACCCUUAGCGAACCCACCCUUCCCUCUGCUGAAUAGUCACCAGCAGCCUCAGGACAAAUAUCUUAGUUUGGAUAUACAUUUCACAAGUAAUAAUAAAAAGGUAUGUUGGGAUGUGAUUCCCUUUUCCUACCUACGACACAGUUGCACUAGCAUUUAACUCAAGACUGUUGCAUUUGUCUCCAGGGCUGGUUGUAAAUACUGCUCCCACAGAAACUGCUUUCUGUAAACUAUCAGUUCAAAAUCAGCUCUGUCGCCCACACUUUGAUUUGCAGGAAUUAGGACAAUCAUGGUCUGAAAUAUGCAUUAUAUAAACUCUGCUUAUCUCUAAAAA